UCUCCUAUGGCGCAAUUGGCGGCGCGUCUGACUGUUAAUCAGAAGGUUGCUAGUUCGAAUCUAGCUGGGAGAG